rnacentral:sRNA from 1 species
AAAAAAAAAGAAAAGAAGAACAAUUUUAAUUUUCAAGCGGAGAAGACACACAUUUUUUGUCGGAAGAAAAAAACUAACUAAAAUAAGGAAAUGUGUUAAGAAAAUUGAAUUUUCAUAAGUCGCCAAUGAUUUUUAAAUUUUCGUCUGUUAAUUAAGAAACCACGAGGAAUUAAUAACCUCUGCUGAUCGUGAAAGUAAAUCAAAUUCAAAAUUCAUUGUUUCUGGUUUGCAAACAAAUUUAGCAAAUCUAAAAAGCUACCUAUAAUCUUAAUUUUAUUGUAACGGGCCUAGACACAUACUUUCUGUAAGAACACCUCCCAAAUGCCCUGAGCACGGCCGGAAUCAAAGGUAGCAAAGGUAGCACUACGUGGUGGGUAGUGCAGUGGAUCGUUACACCACAAAUUUUAUCGAUAGGGGUUUCAAAAUAAGCGACAAAUCCUUC